UCUGUAGCAAUACAGAUGGCGCACGGCGCACGGGUGCGUAACACGUGGGUAAUCUGCCCUUCGAUGGGGAAUAACUCGCCGAAAGGCGAGCUAAUUCCGCAUAACAUUCCUUGAACCUCGGUUUGGGGACUCAAAGCCGUAAGGCGUCGGAGGAGGAACCCGCGCACGAUUAGCUAGUUGGUAGGGUAACGGCCUACCAAGGCUUUGAUCGUUAGCUGGUCUGAGAGGAUGGCCAGCCACACUGGAACUGAGACACGGUCCAGACUCCUACGGGAGGCAGCAGUGGGGAAUCUUGCACAAUGGGCGAAAGCCUGAUGCAGCGACGCCGCGUGGGGGAUGAAGCUUUUCGGAGUGUAAACCCCUUUCGACCCGGACGAAUGCCCCGCAAGGGGACUGACGGUACGGGUAUAAGAAGCCCCGGCUAACUACGUGCCAGCAGCCGCGGUAAGACGUGGGGGGCCAGCGUUGCUCGGAAUUACUGGGUGUAAAGGGUUCGUAGGCGGUGUAGCAAGUCGGGAGUGAAAUCUCUGGGCUCAACCCAGAGACUGCUUCCGAAACUGCUGUGCUUGAGUGUGGGAGAGGCGCGUGGAAUUGCAGGUGUAGCGGUGAAAUGCGUAGAUAUCUGCAGGAACACCCGUGGCGAAAGCGGCGCGCUGGACCACUACUGACGCUGAGGAACGAAAGCUAGGGGAGCAAACAGGAUUAGAUACCCUGGUAGUCCUAGCCCUAAACGAUCAGGACUUGGGGUGCCGCACGUUCGUGCGUCGUCCCGGAGCUAACGCGUUAAGUCCUGCACCUGGGGAGUACGGUCGCAAGACUGAAACUC
rnacentral:rRNA from 1 species